AGAGUUUGAUCCUGGCUCAGGAUGAACGCUGGCGGCGUGCCUAACACAUGCAAGUCGAACGGGUGUACGGGAUGGAAGGCUCCGGCCGGAAGCCCCGUGCAUGAGUGGCGGACGGGUGAGUAACGCGUGGGCAACCUGCCCUGUACAGGGGGACAACACUUAGAAAUAGGUGCUAAUACCGCAUAACGGGGGGAGCCGCAUGGCACCCCCCUGAAAACUCCGGUGGUACAGGAUGGGCCCGCGUCUGAUUAGCUGGUUGGCAGGGUAACGGCCUACCAAGGCGACGAUCAGUAGCCGGCCUGAGAGGGCGGACGGCCACACUGGGACUGAGACACGGCCCAGACUCCUACGGGAGGCAGCAGUGGGGGAUAUUGCACAAUGGGGGGAACCCUGAUGCAGCGACGCCGCGUGGGUGAAGGAGCGUUUCGGCGCGUAAAGCCCUAUCGGCAGGGAAGAAGGAGGACGGUACCUGACUAAGAAGCCCCGGCUAACUACGUG
rnacentral:rRNA from 1 species